AUCGCCGCCGGACGGCGCGGGCCGCUAAGGGACGAUUCCCUGUGACUGGCCCGGCCGAGAAGCGACGGGGUCGCAGGGAGCCCCGGCAAUUCGCUCCGGCGAAGGAG
rnacentral:ncRNA from 1 species